CCAUUGGCGGCGUGCUAAUACAUGCAAGUCGAGCGGACCGACGGGAGCUUGCUCCCUUAGGUCAGCGGCGGACGGGUGAGUAACACGUGGGUAACCUGCCUGUAAGACUGGGAUAACUCCGGGAAACCGGGGCUAAUACCGGAUGCUUGAUUGAACCGCAUGGUUCAAUCAUGAAAGGCGGCUUCGGCUGCCGUUUACAGAUGGACCCGCGGCGCAUUAGCUAGUUGGUGAGGUAACGGCUCACCAAGGCGACGAUGCGUAGCCGACCUGAGAGGGUGAUCGGCCACACUGGGACUGAGACACGGCCCAGACUCCUACGGGAGGCAGCAGUAGGGAAUCUUCCGCAAUGGACGAAAGUCUGACGGAGCAACGCCGCGUGAGUGAUGAAGGUUUUCGGAUCGUAAAGCUCUGUUGUUAGGGAAGAACAAGUACCGUUCGAAUAGGGCGGUACCUUGACGGUACCUAACCAGAAAGCCACGGCUAACUACGUGCCAGCAGCCGCGGUAAUACGUAGGUGGCAAGCGUUGUCCGGAAUUAUUGGGCGUAAAGCGCGCGCAGGCGGUUUCUUAAGUCUGAUGUGAAAGCCCCCGGCUCAACCGGGGAGGGUCAUUGGAA
rnacentral:rRNA from 1 species